rnacentral:rRNA from 1 species
UCGGGAAUAUUGCGCAAUGGAGGAAACUCUGACGCAGUGACGCCGCGUAUAGGAAGAAGGUUUUCGUAUUGUAAACUAUUGUCGUUAGGGAAGAUACAAGACAGUACCUAAGGAGGAAGCACCGGCUAACUAUGUGCCAGCAGCCGCGGUAAUACAUAGGGUGCGAGCGUUAUCCGGAAUUAUUGGGUGUAAAGGGUGCGUAGACGGGAAGGCAAGUUAGUUGUGAAAUCCCUCGGCUCAACCGAGGAACUGCAACUAAAACUAUCUUUCUUGAGUGUCGGAGAGGAAAGUGGAAUUCCUAGUGUAGCGGUGAAAUGCGUAGAUAUUAGGAGGAACACCAGUGGCGAAGGCGACUUUCUGGACGAUAACUGACGUUGAGGCACGAAAGUGUGGGGAGCAAACAGG